UGGGGAAUAUUGCACAAUGGGCGCAAGCCUGAUGCAGCCAUGCCGCGUGUGUGAAGAAGGCCUUCGGGUUGUAAAGCACUUUCAGCGGGGAGGAAGGCGAUAAGGUUAAUAACCUUGUCGAUUGACGUUACCCGCAGAAGAAGCACCGGCUAACUCCGUGCCAGCAGCCGCGGUAAUACGGAGGGUGCAAGCGUUAAUCGGAAUUACUGGGCGUAAAGCGCACGCAGGCGGUCUGUCAAGUCGGAUGUGAAAUCCCCGGGCUUAACCUGGGAACUGCCUUCGAAACUGGCAGGCUAGAGUCUUGUAGAGGGGGGUAGAAUUCCAGGUGUAGCGGUGAAAUGCGUAGAGAUCUGGAGGAAUACCGGUGGCGAAGGCGGCCCCCUGGACAAAGACUGACGCUCAGGUGCGAAAGCGUGGGGAGCAAACAGG
rnacentral:rRNA from 1 species